rnacentral:rRNA from 1 species
UUUUCCUACGGGGCGCAGCAGUGAGGAAUAUUGGUCAAUGGGCUUACGCCUGAACCAGCCAAGUCGCGUGAGGGAAGACUGCCCUAUGGGUUGUAAACCUCUUUUGUCAGGGAGCAACGCCGGCUACGUGUAGCCGGACUGAGAGUACCUGAAGAAAAAGCAUCGGCUAACUCCGUGCCAGCAGCCGCGGUAAUACGGAGGAUGCGAGCGUUAUCCGGAUUUAUUGGGUUUAAAGGGUGCGUAGGUUGUUUUUUAAGUCAGCGGUGAAAGUUUGUGGCUCAACCAUAAAAUUGCCGUUGAAACUG